CCUACGGGAGGCUGCAGUGGGGAAUAUUGCACAAUGGGGGAAACCCUGAUGCAGCGACGCAGCGUGAGUGAAGAAGUAUUUCGGUAUGGAAAGCUCUAUCAGCAGGGAAGUAGAAAGACGGUACCUGACUAAGAAGCACCGGCUAACUACGUGCCAGCAGCCGCGGUAAUACGUAGGGGGCAAGCGUUAUCCGGAUUUACUGGGUGUAAAGGGCACGUAGGCGGUAUGUCAAGUCAAGGGUGAAAUCCCAGCGCUCAACGUGGGAACUGCAUUUGAAACUGGCAAACUGGAGUGUGUGAGAGGAUAGUGGAAUUCCAGGUGUAGGAGUGAAAUCCGUAGAUAUUUGGGGGAACAUCAGUGGCGAAGGCGACUAUCUGGCACAUAACUGACGCUGAGGAGCGAAAGCGUGGGUAGCAAACAGGAUUAGAUACCCCUGUAGUC
rnacentral:rRNA from 1 species